rnacentral:rRNA from 16 species
GGAUGCGAUCAUACCAGCACUAAAGCACCGGAUCCCAUCAGAACUCCGAAGUUAAGCAUGCUUGGGCGAGAGUAGUACUAGGAUGGGUGACCUCCUGGGAAGUCCUCGUGUUGCAUUUC